rnacentral:rRNA from 1 species
CCGGGAAUUUUGCGCAAUGGACGAAAGUCUGACGCAGCGACACCGCGUGUGGGAAGACGCUCCUCGGAGUGUAAACCACUGUGGCAGGGGAGGAAUUUUGACAGUACCCUGCAAGAAAGCACCAGCUAACUACGUGCCAGAAGCUUCGGUAAUACGUAGGGUGCAAGCGUUAUCCGGAUUUACUGGGCAUAAAGGGUCCGUCGGCGGUUUGAUAUGUUCCUUGUCCAAGCCUGAGGCUCAACUUCAGAAAGGCAAGGAAAACUGUCAGACUAGAGUAUAUUCGAGGAAAUUGGAAUUCUUGGUGGAGGGGUGAAAUCCGUAGAUAUCAAGAGGAACACCACGCGCGAAGGCAGAUUUCUAGGAUAAUACUGACGCUCAGGGACGAAAGCUCGGGUAGCAAAGCGG